CCUGGUCGAUCUUGCCAGUAUUCAUAUGCUUGUCUCAAAGAUUAAGCCAUGCAUGUGUAAGUAUGAACUAAUUUAGAUUGUGAAAUUGUGAAUGGCUCAUUAAAUUAGUUAUAGUUAGUUUGAUGGUAUCUACUACUCGAAUAACUGUAGUAAUUCUAAAGCUGAUAUGUGCAACAAACCCUGACUUUUAGAAGGGAUGCAUUUAUGAUAAAAGCUCAAUACGAGCGAUGCAUCAUUUAAAUUUUUGCCCAAUCAACUUUCAAUGGUUGGAUAGUGGCCUACUAUGGUGGUGGUGGGUGACAGAAAACUAGGGUUUGAUUUCAGGGAAGGAGCUUGAGAAAUGGCUACCAUAUCUAAUGAAGGCGACAGGAGCACAAAUUACCUAAUCCUGACAUUGGGAGGUAGUGGUAAUAAAUAACAAUACUGGGCUAUAUGAGUCUGGUAAUUAGAAUGAGUAUAAUCAAAAUCCCUUAAUGAGGAUCCAUUGGAUGACAAGUUUGGUGCCAACAGCCACGACAAUUAAUUCUAAUAGUGUCUACGUAAGUUAUUGUAGUUAAAAAACACAUCAUUGGAACUAGGGUUAGGUCAUUUGGUCCACUUCACGGUGAGCACUGAUUUACUUAUCCCUAUUAUCGAUAAUGUGCUCUUAGCCUUAAAUGGCUGGGUCAUUCCUUUGAUGCUAUUACUUUGAAGAAAUUAAAGAGCUUAACAUAGGCCUACACUUGUAUACAUUUGCACAUGAUAACAUCAUAGGAUUUUAAUCCUAUUGUGUUGGCCUUUAAGAUCAGAGUAAUGAUUUACAAGGACAGUUAGAGGCAUUUGUAUUUCAUAGUCAGAGGUAAAAUUCUUAGAUUUAUGAAAAAUGAACAAUUGCAAAAUCAUUUUCCAAGGAUGUUUUCAUUAAUCCAAAAUGAAAAUUGAAGGUUCAAAGAUGAACAGAUACUGUCUUAGUCUUAACCAUAAUCAUGUCAAUAAGGGAUGGACGAAUGAUACUUUUAGAACUCCACCAGCACCUCAUGAGAAAUUAAAGUCUUUGGGUUUCGAGGUAAAGUAUGGUCACAAGGCUGAAACUUAAAGGAAUUUAUGAAAGGGCACCAUUAGGAAUGGAGCCUACAGCUUAAUUUAACUUAACACAAGAAAACUUGCUAGGUCCAAACAUAAUAAGGAUUGAUAGACUGAGAGCUCUUUCUUAAUUCUAUAAGUGGUAGUGCAUGGUUGCUCUUACUUGCUAGAGCAAUUUAUCUGGUUAAUUUCGUUAAUGAACAACACCUUAGCUUGCUAACUAGCUACAUGGAAGAGAUCCUUUGUGGCUAGCUUCUUAAGGGGACUAUGGUCACUUAAGGUAAGAAAGUUUAAGGCAAUAACAUGUCUAUGAUGCCCUUAGAAGUUUUGGACUAUACGCAUGCUACACUGAUAUAUUCAAUGAGUUUAUAGCCUUGGCCGAUAGGCUCAGGUAAUCUUUAAAAUUUCAUUAUGAUGUAGAUAGAUCAUUGCAAUUAUUGGUCUUCAAUAAGGAAUUCCUAGUAAGUAUGAGUCACCGACUUACGUUGACCACAUCUCUACCUUUAGUACACAUCACCCGUUGCUCCUACCAAUUAAAUGGUCUAGUGAAGUGUUUUGAUCAUGGUGAGGUGGAUGAUUCAUUGCUUAUGACCUCGUAAGAAGUCCAUUGAGCUUUAUCAUUUAGAGGAAGGAGAAGUUGUAACAAGGUUUUUAUAGGUGAACCUACGAAAG
rnacentral:rRNA from 1 species